rnacentral:rRNA from 1 species
UGGGGAAUAUUGGACAAUGGGCGAAAGCCUGAUCCAGCCAUGCCGCGUGUGUGAAGAAGGUCUUCGGAUUGUAAAGCACUUUAAGUUGGGAGGAAGGGCAGUAAGCGAAUACCUUGCUGUUUUGACGUUACCGACAGAAUAAGCACCGGCUAACUCUGUGCCAGCAGCCGCGGUAAUACAGAGGGUGCAAGCGUUAAUCGGAAUUACUGGGCGUAAAGCGCGCGUAGGUGGUUCGUUAAGUUGAAUGUGAAAGCCCCGGGCUCAACCUGAGAACUGCAUCCAAAACUGGCGGGCUAGAGUAGGGCAGAGGGUGGUGGAAUUUCCUGUGUAGCGGUGAAAUGCGUAGAUAUAGGAAGGAACACCAGUGGCGAAGGCGACCACCUGGGCUCAUACUGACACUGAGGUGCGAAAGCGUGGGGAGCAAACAGG